rfam:Candidate division WOR-1 bacterium RIFOXYC2_FTLL_46_14 rifoxyc2_full_scaffold_14, whole genome shotgun sequence.
CGCGGGGUAGAGCAGCCCGGUAGCUCGUCAGGCUCAUAACCUGAAGGUCGUGGGUUCAAAUCCCACCCCCGCUA